CAUCACAUUGGAUGGAUAUUCCCAUGUUUCACCUCUCAGUUCCUGCAAUCAGAAAACAAAAUGGCAAUGUUAAGGACUGAUACACAUAUCAUAGAAAAUCACUAAACAUUUUACAUUGGUGAUAAAAUUAAGAAUAGAUCUGAAAAGAUAAUGAUGCAUUUUUGCUAAAAUAUUCAAGUUUGAAAGCAUUACAUAAAUUGAUCAGGAUUCCCUAUUUAUUAUUGAAUUUCUAACCCGUCUUUCUGUUUCUUCAACUGUAGAUACACUGGUCAUAUUCAUGCAUCAUACUAAGCCAUAAAUCGUUCUUUCUGGCUCGUUUUAUUGUGGAAUUUCACCAGCUUACAAUAAAGCACAGAAUAAGGCAUUUGACAAUUGUGGAUUAUUCAACAAAUCAUAAAUUUAGUAUAAUAUGCUAUACUGUUAGACCUCAAAGAAACCACUUCUCCUUAAUUUAGGCUAAUUUGUCCUGAUUUGGAAAUAGAAGUCACACAAUCAGAAAUUAGCCAACUAUACUUUACUAUCUUGUACAAACCAAUCAGUGUGAUUGCUUUGCAGUUCAGUGUGGAGUGCAAACUCUGAAAUUGGAAUAAUAAAACUAGUUAACUAUAGAUAAGCAUAUUGUAAAAAUAUAGCCAGAAAUAAAAAUAUACCUUCUUUUUUUCUUGUAGAUAUUCAUCCCAUGCAAACUGCAAUAAAGGAAGUACUUUAGGCUCAGCAAUCUUGGUGGGGAAAUUUCUGCUAAGGGUCUAAAUAUGCAAGAGAAAAGUUUUAAAGACUGAGCUAUGUUUUAUAUUUUAUAAUGGUGUUCCUAAAAUACACAUAACCAUUAUAGUCAUGUAGCUGAUCAUAUAAGUUACUUAAGUAACAAUAUUUUGGGACCGCCUUUAGGAGAGGAAUUUAUACUACUUGCAUGUCAUAUGUCAUGCAAGAGUUUUAUCAUAAUGAUGUCAAUUUCUUCUGCAUUUAUUAUACAAGAGUAAAAUGGCUAAAAAUAGUUUAAGCAAUGGAGUGGUAGCAGUGAGACUUGCAAGUCAAGAAAUUUGCUUUUCAUCAAGCAUCGGUUCAAUUAAAUGGUCCUUAGUUACCUUCCAUCUCUCUCUACAAUAUAUUUCAUUGUAUCUCAUAAUCUAGGAAGUAUGUGCAAUGAAUUGACAGGUAUAUAUGAUGUACCAUCAGAACUAAGUAUCUGAAUGAAGGUCAAUAUCCUUUCACAGAAAAAUCUACUCUUGGGAGAUAUUGAUAAAUGUCAAAUUUUAAUUGCUUCCCUUUGGGUUAGCCAUAUUUUUUUCAUAGUAGCUCUCCUCCAUCCCUACUUCCUUUUCUUUGUAGCCCUCCCAACUCUUUAAAGGAGAUGAGAGGUUGCAGGAUAGAUGCCUCCUCCACAGUCAGUGAAGAAGGCAUUCCAUCAGUGGGUUUAAUUGGUUAAAACCCUUUUAGUCUACCCAUCUAAUUAAUUCUUGGUUUUUCAUAAUAAUGUGUGAGUUGACAUGAGAUGGCCUAGGUGAAACAGCCUUCAUAUAGCUGCUUGAGUACUAAGAAUAAAUAUUGACUUUUUGAGUACUUUUUGUGCAGACAUAAUUCCUUCCUAGAGUGACGUUCUCUACAUCUCUACAUCUGCAGAGAUUUUCAGCAACUUAACUAAACAUUUGAAAAAAGUCAACCUGGGUGCGGUUUUUCUCCACCAUGAAGGAAAUCUCAGUUUUAUUUCUACCUAACUAAGGAAAUUUAUUUUAUUUUAUACUUAUUUAUUUUAUAAGUUCAUUAGCUGCUACAGAAGGCAAGAAUAAUAUAGAAAUGGACAGUUUGUGAGGGGCAUUAUUUUUUUAAAGUUACAAAAGCCUACCUUAUAACUGCAUACUGACACUAUAGAAGAUAGACUCAUAGGCCUGGAAGGGAUCUUAGAGGUCUUCUAGUCCAACCUCCUCAAGGCAGGAGAUCUUAUACCAUCCCAGUCAAAUGGUUGUCCAGUCUAUUUUGGAAAACCUCUACUGAUGGAUCACUUACAACUCCGGGAGGCAAGCUAUUCCGUUGAUCAAUUUUUCUCAUUGUCAGAAAAUUUCUCCUUUCUUCUAGGUUGGAUUUCUCUUUCACUAACUUCCACCAGUAGUGGGAUUCAGCCAGUUCGCACCACUUUGGGAGAACCGGUUGUUAAUUUUCUGAGCAGUUUGGUGAACUGGUUGUGUUCUGUCCCCCCUCGCCUCCGUCCAAGCAAUGGCUUAAUUAGCCGGCACUAUCAGCUCUGGCAGCAAACUAGUGAGCUUCUGUCAAGUGACUCUGUUAUCUACCUUGAUGCUGAUGAGUCACCCAGGAACAAACAGUACUUCAGCUCUAGUUAAGCAGUUGAUUUGCCUGCUACAAAGAGGCAUAGCAGCCCUCGCUGGUUUUAUAUCCUGUGGGGUGUGGCUCCAUGACUCAGUAUUUCCUAGGCCUGCCCCACCCCUGCUUCUGUUGUUCCUGCCUCUCCUGCCUAUGAAGAGGGUCUAGCCAGUCCUGAUUGCCAUCAGCUGGGUCUGCAGGCGUGGCCGGGGGGGAUGGGGAAGAGUCAGGGGACGGAGGCCUCGUUAUCUCCUCCACCUGGCCUGCCUCCGGCUCCUGGAGCUGAGCCAGGGAAGCCGGUGCUCCCGAGGUAAGUCCUGAUGGCCCUUCCCCCUCACUUUCCAAGUCACUUUCUGGCGGGGGACCGGCUCAGGGGGGCGUAGACACAACAGGUUGUUGGAAGAAAUCAUUAGGGCAGAGAACUAGUUGUUAAAUUAUAUGAAUCCCACCAUUGCUUUCCACCCAUUACUUCUUAUAAUACGUUUAAAUCUUGAGCUCAACCAACAAUUCUGUACUGGAAGAGCCUUUGCAAUACCACGUUUGCGGUCUGAAGAGCUCAGGGGCAACAUUAUCAAUGCAAAGAGCAACAAGGAAAAGAGAAGCAGUUCCCCAAGAUGUGAGCAGUGCAUCUGCAAGAAGGACCUGGGUCCUGGGAAUUACCUCCGCUGCGUGUGCUGCCAUGUGAAAGGAAGGUUCGCCACCACACUUCUUCUCAAGCAGCAGCAGGAGAAAAAUCAACAAGUCCCCUCACCAUAGCAACUCCAAUCAGGUGCUACCAUUCUCUUCAGCUGGGAGUUGUGCCAGCCAGCGAUUCUCAGCAGACUUCCCCCUUAUCUAAUGCAACAUGAAACCCAACUGGUCAGUUUGGAGGUACGUUUAAAUUUGAUAAAUAGCUGUUAUUAUCAACCCAGAACGUUGAUUUUCCAAUGAAAUAUCAUGAGAUAGUGGUGUGCUGGCUCACUGAGCAUGUUGAGCUGUGAUACCCACUGAGAAGAAAUCAACAUACUCCUUAUACUUUUCUUUCCUAUACAUUUGUAUAGGGAAUUAUUUAAAUAGUACAUAUUGAUUAGUGGUGCACUGUAGAAUUAAUUUACACAGAUGGUAAUAAUAUUUGAUUAAAGUCUCAGUAACAACAUAAUGUGCUUUUGUAUUGGUGAUGGGUUUUGCUAAAGGCCAAUUUCUUUGUUCUUUGAUUAGUACAGUUAAACAGAUUAAUUCUUGCCGUAUUUAAACUCCACUGAUAGAAACAACACAUAAUGUCACAUGCAUAAGAACAGUUAAAAGUUAAUAAUUGAAAAAACAUGAUAAAUUUAAUAUGUAUAUAAGUAAUUGUUAUAUACCCAAAUUAGAUCAAUCACUGACUGCAUGUGAUUAUGAAAUUUUAUUUUAAAUGCUUUAAAAAAUAUUAACGUAUAUACUUGCAGAUAAGCCAAACCCAAUUUUUAAGGUACAUUGUGGCACCUCAAAUUCUGAUAAUCACGUACAACCACAAUUGAGCCCAAAGUUUCUGUUGCUAAGUGAGUUUUGCCCCAUUUUACAACCUUUCUUACCAUAAUUGUUAAGUGAUUCACUGCAGUUGUUAAAUUAGUAACACAGUUGUUAAGUGAAACUUAACAGCUUCCCUAUUGACCUUGCUUGUCAGGUCACAAACGGUGAUCACAUGACCCCAGAACACUGCAACAAUGAGUCAGUUGCCAAGCAUCUGGAUUUUGAUCAUGUGACCAUGGAGGUUCUGCAAUGUGAAAACUGGUGGUCAUUUUUUUUCAGUGCCGUUGUAACUUUGGUCACUAAAUGAAUUGUUGUAAACCAAGGACUACCUAUACAGUAUGAGCCUGGAAUAUUUUCCAUUAUGGACUGACAACUGUUUGCCAUCUAUACCUACGUGUUGCAGCUUCUCAGAUACUAUCACCCUGUGAUCUUGAAAUAUGCUUGGCUCGCAGACGGUUAGAAUAGAAUAGAAUUUUAUUGGCCAAGUGUGAUUGGACACACAAGGAAUUUGUCUUGGUGCAUAUGCUCUCAGUGUACAUAAAAGAAAAGAUACGUUCAUCAAGGUACAACAUUUACAACACAAUUGAUGAUCAAUAUAUCAAUAUAAAUCAUAAGGAUUGCCAGCAACAAGUUAUAGUCAUACAGUCAUAAGUGGAAAGAGAUUGGUGAUGGGAACUAUGAAACGAUUAAUAGUAGUGCAGAUUCAGUAAAUAGUUUGCAGGUUGUUUCAAGAGUUAUCCUUUUUUUCCCCUUCUUGUUAUUCUCAUUCACUUAAGACAGUAUAGAGACGAUUUCACCACCAGGUAAGGAAUAUCUAUCAUGUGGGUUUUAAUGAGAGUGGGUAGAAGCUUUUCUGUUUUGUCAUGUUAUUUUACCUAAGUGUUUUAAUUUCCUUAAGGAUCCUAAUGACAGCCAUUUUGUUCCUGUGAAAUUUGCAGACACCUUGAUGUUGACAGCCAGAUAAAUUUUAAGGGAGAAAUUGGUAACAUGGGAAACAGCGGUAAAUAUUUCAAUGGUUGUUGUGCAAUACUGAAAAGAUACACAAAAGUACUGUAUUCCCAAGUAAAACAGGAUAUUUACAUAUGAUUAAAAUUCAGGAAAUCAGUUUUGUUUUUAUUGAUAGUCAGAGGGAACUCCAAAAAGCCAAACUGGUUCCUGCUGUAAGGAAUGGGGAGGCACGCCCUAAUUUACAUUUAUUGGUAAGUGCUAAGUCAACGCUCAGUUUUGGUUGACAUUCAGGCUAAUUGGGAACACAUAGGCAGGGCAGUUAUUCAAUCUCUCUUUUUCUGCUAGGUAAUGUUUUUCUUUAAAAAAUAAACAAAAGAUAGAAGCUGGAAACUGAGUCAGGAAUAGAAACGUGGUUCAUUCUCCCCAGCAGCCUCAAAUAAUUGACUGAAAUGCAAAGGGAUCUGAAAAUUAAAUGCAGGAAUAAUUGAGAUAGAAACAUGUUUCAGGAAGUUAUCUUGUGGUAUGGUGAGAGCCUUAUAUUUAAAUGUGCCUACGCAGUGGUGGGAUUCAAGUAAUUUAACAACCGGUCCUCUGCCCUAAUGAUUUCUCCCAACAACCAGUUUGCCAAACUGCUCAGAAAGUUAACUACCGGUUCUCCCAAAGUGGUGCGAACUGGCUGAAUCCCACCACUAUGCCUAUCUUUCCAGAAAAGUAGAAAAAUAAGGGUGCUGGGAAUGAUUUGGGAAGGUUACAGGAGGUCCUAGAAAGCACCCUCAAAAAUUUGUUGUUGUUAAUAGGGUAUUUGGGACUGGUAAUAUCCAUCAUGGCUGCCAUUUUGUGAUAGCAUCUAAAUAUAAUCUCAAAUUAUCAUUUGGGCAUGUGGGGAAACAGUUGAAAUGUAUUUUUAUAUUUGCACAUAUGAUUGUUGCAAUUAUAUUGUACCUUUA